rnacentral:rRNA from 1 species
UACGUAGGUGGCAAGCGUUGUCCGGAUUUACUGGGCGUAAAGCGCGCGCAGGCGGGCUGGUCAGUCCGGGGUGAAAUCUCACGGCUCAACCGUGAGUGGUCCCUGGAUACUGCCAGUCUUGAGGUGUCUAGAGGAGAGCGGAAUUCCCGGUGUAGUGGUGGAAUGCGUAGAUAUCGGGAAGAACACCAGUGGCGAAAGCGGCUCUCUGGGGACCACCUGACGCUGAGGCGCGAAAGCCAGGGGAGCAAACGGG